GACGAACCGUGCGAACGUUGUUCGGAAUCACUGGGCAUAAAGGGCGCGUAGGCGGCUUGUCAAGUCAGGGGUGAAAUCCGGCAGCUUAACUGUCGAAGUGCCUUUGAUACUGAUGAGCUAGAGGGAGAUAGGGGUAUGCGGAACUUCCGGUGGAGCGGUGAAAUGCGUUGAUAUCGGAAGGAACGCCGGUGGCGAAAGCGGCGUAGUGGAUCUCUUCUGACGCUGAGGCGCGAAAGCUAGGGGAGCAAACGGG
rnacentral:rRNA from 1 species